UGGCUACCAAAAAUAAUUAAGGUUGCAAGAGUCUGAAUGAUAAAAACAUAGUUGAGUCCAAGGACUGAACUUUAUCAAUCACAUCUGAUGAAGCCAAAGGGAAUCCCACUGACACUGAUAGGAAAGAUACGUCGCAUUGCCAAAACCAAUCAAUUUACUCGGUGAGGCAAGUAAUCAUGCAGUGUCAUUUUUAUAGAUUUUCUGACUAAAUGGCCACAUCAUUUUCAUCAUUUUUCUCAUUGAAAGUUUUUUGAUCUUUUAGACAGCUUCUGAUGUCGACGCAGACUGGAACAUCGCCCUUUAAUUUGGCCAUUUCAUGUACAGAUUGCAGCUUUGCACU
rnacentral:lncRNA from 1 species